CCGCAUAAAUCCUAAUAAAAAUUCAUGAGUCAUUUCUCCCAUCUUACAUAAUGGCAGUACGAGAAGAGAGCACCUGGAUAUGAAUAAGUUCCAAAGCAAAGCAAUCCCUCCCGAUGCACCCUCCACAGAUAUCGCCCAGGAGCACCAUCCACCGCCUAGCCUACAUGCCAUCCUACGUGCAGUAUUUGCAUCGAAGUGCAUGUCUUGCAAAACAACCAAAUUACAUCUAUGAGAUUGGAUAACAAAACGUAUCUUAUCCUUCACUGACCUAUGAUGUAAGCCCCUACAAUUCCAACUUAAAACACUCGCAGUAAAAGAAAAUGAAAGUCAACAAAGUCCCUCAAGAUGUCCAGUGGAGGAGAAACUUUUCCACCACAAGGUUGAAGUCCCAGGGCUGCCUCCACUGCCUCAUAAUCUUCUCAUCAUAGCUAACAUUGGAGGAGAUCUUGAUGCAAUCAAAAGCAAACGUCGAAAGAAAUGAGUAAGAAACGGUAUCCUUAGAAUGGCCAGCAAGCAGGUCCGUCCAAGAUACCCUUUUACCUUCACCUUCACCACCGUGCCAGCAGCAAUCGGGUGAGGAGGUUCUCCCGUGCCCCCGGCGGACAGAGGACCGAAAGGCAGUGCCGAUUCCCUCGCGCCAGCAGCAAUCGGUUGAGCAGUUUCACCGCCGUUAGGCGCCACCGCUCUAGCAGCAUUCAACUGCGCCGAUUACCCCGCGCUCCCAACGGACGGAUGACUGUGAGACAUGCGCUCCCCAGCAUCUUCUCUAGCGAGCGAAAGGGCGGAAGAUCGGGGAACCUUAGAAAUAGCGGGCGAAGCUAAGUGGGGAGCCGCGAGC
rnacentral:lncRNA from 1 species